rnacentral:lncRNA from 1 species
CUCAGUGGGUUAAGGAUCUGGUGUUGCUGUGAGCUGUGGUGUAGGUCACAGAUGUGGCUUAGAUCCUGCAUUGCUGUGGCUGUCGUGUAGGCCAGCAACUAUAUCACUGCUGUGGUACAGGUUUGAUCCCUGGCGCUGGAACUUGGGUGUGCUGUGGGCACAGUCAAAAACAUUAAAAAUUUAAAAACUGAGGCAUAUUAAAAUUUUUAAAAGUUCAUUUGAGCAAAAAUGGAUUUGCAUGUAGAAGCACCCAGCCAGAAGUGGUGAGGGGUGCUCUACCAACUGGAGUUUGGGGGAAACAUAUAGUGAGAAGCUGGAAGCAAAACAAGGAGGUUAUUUGAUUGGCUGUAGCUUUACCAUAUUGGGCAGCUUGUGAUUGGGUGUCCUUAGGUUUUGACUGUUCAUCUUGAGGCAUUACAGGCUGAGGUUUUAGUUUGCUUACAUCAGCUGCUACGAUAUUAGCACAUCUCAAUCUAAUGGGUCUCCUGACUAAUGAAUUUCAUACAAGGUAGAGUGAAGGUCCUGCCUGGGCGAUGGGUUUAUGAGCCUCUAAUGCCUUGAAUCCCAGCCCUGUAUGGCUGCCUCCCAGCAGAGCAGGGCCACACCAAACCUAGAGGGCAGAUAAGGCCAACACUUACACGCAGUAAUGGUCGGGUAUCUUAGUUGCACCAGCCUGGGCUGCCAUGGCCAGUGCUACUCUGCGUUUGUGUCCAUGAAAGAGUGCAGAGUCGGUGGUGGGCAGAAUGGUCAAAGCCCUCCGUGGGCUGGUGUGUGUGUGGGGGGUGCCUGGCCUUAGCAGUCCCAGUUCCGUUCAGGAUUCCCAGCUAGUGUUCGGGGUUCCUUUUCUGCUCUUGCCAGUGGUUCAUCAUGUAACCGGCAGAGUGAAACUUACCUUUUCCUGAUAAUGGUCAUAUUCAUAGAAUCACAAGGUACCGUUGUUAAAACGUAGCUGACCUGGGUGAGGAGAAAUUAUUUGUUCUAAGAAGGACUGAGUCAGCAUUAUGAGUUCCUUAACACCUAAAGACAGAAACAACAGAAUGUCCAAGUGUGUCCCCUACAUGUGGUCCAUUUUAGUCAUUGAAAAACUCUGCUUUUCCACCACCCUGCAUGUGUUCUACACCUGCAGCUCAAGAGGAAGAAUCAAGAGAAAUACCCCACACCCACCACCCUGCCUGAUUUUGGAGGACUUCAGGGAGAGGUAAUAGGUGAUUAUUUCUUGUUCUUCUUCUUUUUCUUCAGAGUCAGAGCUGUGCUUCCAGCAUCGCUGUAAAAGAUGAUGCGAUGGCAUCGAUUUGGUUGAAAAGCAAAGCAGAUAGGGUUCUGAUUGUUCUUUUCCACUCCUUCGCUGUGACUGAAAUCAGGAGUCCUGGCUUCUUGCCUGAUUAGGGUUUGAGAUGUGAAGCAGAUCACUGAAGUGUGUCCGCACAGCCCAGCACGGGCAGCCAUCCCGGCGAAAUCCUGAUGUCUGCGUGUACUUCCACAGCUGCUUUCUUUUUGUUUGUGGUCAGCAAAAGGAAGGAACGGAUUCAAAGGAAGCCCUCUUUCUGAUGGAGCAGAUGCUGUGCUUAAGUGUGGAGAACGUUUACCCUGGCAGAAACACCCUGCCCAUAUGUCGAGGGCCGGUAAGGGGACUCCUGAGACUCCAAAGCAUGAGACCUGAUUCUUCUUCCAGCAGACCUGUUGCCCAGAGAGGCAGAGUGGGGCUGGCAGGAGGCCCAAGGCCCAGAACUCACCCUAGAAACUCAGCAAUAAGUCCAGAGCGGGAGGUACAGCCCGGCUGCAGCCCUUUCCAUCUUGUGUCCAGAGUCCCUGCUCUCUUGUUUGCCUCCAGGAUGAGGGUGAUAGUGACCUGACUUUCAACUGCCUCACCAACAUAAAGGACUAAGAAAGAUCCAUGAACUCUAGAAACUUUGGGUCCCACAUAGAUGGUUCAUUUCUGGCUUCAUCUACUCUCCAAGUUGUGAUGUUCCAUAGGUAACUGUGAGCAGGGCGUUAAUAAUUUUGAAAAAUAAGUAUGCGGUGGAUGCUUACAAUUCACCUGGUCCCGUGAGAAGUGUUUUUAUGCCACUUCAUCCUCAUGCGUCUUUUGAAUUUAGGCACUGUUAUCCACGUUACAUAGAAGAGGAAAAUGAGCCUGACUCACAGUUAUCCAGAGUUAGGCUUUGAACUCAGAAAAGGUGGAUUCUAAUGGCCAGGCCGAGUUCACUGAGUCUUCUGUUCUCCUGGUUGGUGUGUGACAGAAAGACAUGCCUUGCAGCGGGGCCCUGCUUACUUAGAUUAUCUUGUUGCCUAAUACAUGUGUUUUACAUCCUUUGCAAUAGACAGCUCAUCUAAUUAACUAACUGAGACUCAGUGAUCAGCUCCAGGCAGGCAAACAAAAUCAUGCGUUCCUAUAAUGAUAACAGUAGAUUGACUUUGGUAACAAAAGUUGCUGCUUUGACAAUGGGUUUUCUCAUAGGAAACUUCAAGCUGUGUCACCAGACACCUUACACAUAAGAUGUAGACAUAGGACAGUUAAGCAGGACGUAGAGAAGUCCUCAGCAUUACUCCUAUCUCCUGACCAGUGAUUCUACUUAAAGAAAUUUAUCUGAAGAAGAUGAUCAGAGAUGUGAUUUAAAAAAAAUGCAUAGGAGUUCCCGUUGUGGCUCAGCAGUUAACGAAUCUGACUAGGAACCAGGGGGUUGCGGGUUCGAUCCCUGGCUUUGCUCAGUGGGUUGAGGAUUUGGCGUUGCCAUGACCUGUGCCUGGGUUGCAGACACGGCUCGGAUCCCGCAUUGCUGUGGCUCUGGUGUAGGCCAGCGGCUACAGCUCCAAAUGGACCCCUAGCCUGGGAACCUCCAUAUGCUGAGCAGGCAGCCCUAGAAAAG